rnacentral:rRNA from 1 species
AUUGAACGCUGGCGGCAGGCCUAACACAUGCAAGUCGAGCGAGCGGCGGACGGGUGUGUAAUGUGUGGGAAACUGCCUGAUGGAGGGGGAUAACUCCUGGAAAAGGUAGCUAAUACCGCAUACGCUCUGAUGUGCCCAGAUGGGAUUAGCUAGUGGGUGGGGUAAAGGCUCACCUAGGCGACGCUCCCUCGAUGGGCUGAGAGGAUGACCAGCCACACUGGAACUGAGACACGGUCCAGACUCCGACGGGAGGCAGCAGUGGGGAAUAUUGCACAAUGGGCGCAAGCCUGAUGCAGCCAUGCCGCGUGUGUGAAGAAGGCCUUCGGGUUGUAAAGUACUUUCAGCGGGGAGGCGUUACCCGCAGAAGAAGCACCGGCUAACUCCGUGCCAGCAGCCGCGGUAAUAC